GAUGAACGCUGGCGGCGUGCCUAACACAUGCAAGUCGAGCGGUAACAGGGAUAGUUUACUAUCUGCUGACGAGCGGCGAACGGCUGAGUAACGCGUGGGAAUGUACCCCAAAGUGAGGGAUAACUGCCUGAAAAGGUAGCUAAUACCGCAUAUGGUCUUCGGAUUAAAGUAUUUAUACGCUUUGGGAACAGCCCGCGUCCGAUUAGGUUGUUGGUGAGGUAAUGGCUCACCAAGCCGACGAUCGGUAGCUGGUCUGAGAGGAUGAUCAGCCAGACUGGAACUGAGACACGGUCCAGACUCCUACGGGAGGCAGCAGUGAGGAAUCUUCCACAAUGGGGGAAACCCUGAUGGAGCAACGCCGCGUGCAGGAUGAAGGCCUUCGGGUUGUAAACUGCUUUUAUGAGUGAAGAAUAUGACGGUAACUCAUGAAUAAGGAUCGGCUAACUACGUGCCAGCCGCCGCCGUAA
rnacentral:rRNA from 1 species